AGAGCAGCAGCAUUCAUUCAGACAGAGCUGUCAGAGGGAAUGGAAAGUACAACACACAGGUCAAAACUGCAUCGUCACUUAAAGACUCAUCCACAUUAGGACAGUUUCAGGGUCAAUACUGACUGGAUCACUCAAUAAAAAAACCAUCAAUUCCUCCCCCAGAACCUCUUCAGAACAUCUGGUUCUUCAUCUCCAGUAACUUUAUCAAUGAUCAGAGUUCUACCCUCAUACUGGGAAUAUUUCCAGAGUUUCAGGUCCUUCAAGUCCAUAGAGGAGAACAUCCCCUGGAGAAAGUUCUAGAGUAGACCUACUGACAAUUGGACAGUUGUUAGUAGAGCUACUCUAGAACUUUCUCCAGUUGUCGGUAGGUCUACUCUAGAACUUUCUCCAGUUGUCGGUAGGUCUACUCUAGAACUUUCUCCAGUUGUCAGUAGGUCUACUCUAGAACUUUCUACAGCUGGCGGUAGGUCUACUCUAGAACUUUCUCCAGUUGUCGGUAGGUCUACUCUAGAACUUUCUCCAGUUGUCAGUAGGUCUACUCUAGAACUUUCUACAGCUGGCGGUAGGUCUACUGUAGAACUUUCUACAGUUGUCGGUAGGUCUACUCUAGAACUUUCUCCAGUUGUCCGUAGGUCUACUCUAGAACUUUCUACAGCUGGCGGUAGGUCUACUGUAGAACUUUCUACAGUUGUCGGUAGGUCUACUCUAGAACUUUCUACAGUUGUCGGUUGUUCUCCUUUCCUGCUUCUAGUCUUGAAGUUUAGUCUCACUCAGAACAUUCCAGGUCCUUGAAGUCCAUAGAGGUGGGUCCAGAUUUAUCACUUUUUAAUGGACUUUUUCCAUCAUUUCUGAGCCUCAGAACUUCAUCAGUCCAGCAGACAGAACCAUGACAUUUAGGAGGAACUGACACUAAAAUAACUAAAAAAGCUGGAAAAUUACCACAAAAAUGGCCAAAGUUACCACAAUAAAACACAAAAUCACCCGAAAAUCACCAAAAAGAGCCAGAACCACCUUGAAAAAUUAAAAAAUGCUGGCAAAAACACCCUAAAAUCACCACAAAAAGGACCAAAAUGACCACUAAACAGGUGAAAUUGCUAAAAAACUCAACUUCAGCACAAAACACUUGCAAAAUUGAGCCCAAAAAGAGCACAAUUACCCUGAAAUGUUCAAAUAUGCCAGCAUAAAAAUGGAAGAUCACCACAAAAAUGACCAAAUUUCCCAUUGAAGGUCCAAAAUUACUACAAAAUGGGUGAAACUAUAACAAAAACUCAAAUUCAGCACCAAAAAAUCAACUAAACACAUCCGAGUUCUGGUAAAAAACUGACACCAGAUCAGUUUAAAUCCAUCCAGGUGUCUCAGUCUGUUCGUCUGUCUCUAUCAUCAGUAUUAUGGGAUGUAUCCUAGUGAUCAUCAGUAUUAUGGGAUGUAUCCUAGUGAUCAUUAGUAUUAAGGGAUGUAUCCUAGUGUGAUCUGUUUAGAGUCCUAGAAACAAUCAUUAGUUCCCUGGAUGUUUUUCUGGUUUCUGAUUUUUCACCAGAGAAACCUUAAAAAGUCAUUCUUUGUAAACUGUAAGGUUCAUACUAACCAACAUCACCUGGAGGAUGUAGACCAUAAUAACCAGAGAUAAUAAAUAAAACAACUGGAAUUAAAUUACAGCACAUCUGUACCUAAAAAAGCUAAAUGUAGAAUAAUAGAGGGUUAAAACGUCGGUUCACUGAUCUGAUCUGGACUCUGGAUGAGAAGAAGCAGUGAACUAGUUUUAAUUCUGUUAAUAACAGAUCAGAUCUAAUGAAGUGUCUGGAUGGUGACGCUGAGCUCAUCUCCAACCAGAAUGAAGGAUUGUGAUGCUGGAGGCUGUAAGUGAUCAUCUCCACCUCCAUGCUGCCCCCUCUGGGCCUCCUGUGGGGGGGUUGGUCCAUGCUUCAGGCCGUCCAUCACUCUCCUCCCUCAGCUCCGUCUUGCAUAAGUGGCCUCUCGGCUUGCUGCUUCGGUUAUCUGAUCGCUCGCUGUGUAUUUUCGUCUUCUCUCUAGAAACCAGCUGCUGGUUGUGAAACAGAUGAAGAGUCACUGGGAGGUUCAGCUGAAACUGCUGCCUCAGCUCCACGGAGGAGGUUAGAGAAGCUUCUGCAAACAUCCAUCCAUCCACCAGGAGAUGCUGUGACCUCUGACCUUCACUCUGUCAUCUAGAGAUCCUUAGAUCCCAGUGGAACCACCACAGAACCACAGAACCUCCUCAAUGACAGCAGCACGAGAACCACCCAUAAGACCUCUGUAGUCUUCUCAGAGGACCAAAUCUGUAGAAGACCUCCAGAACCUCUUCACUGACCAAAGGAGCCUCCUAAAGGAACGCUACAGCCACCGAAAAGAAACGUGUUACAGAACCUCCAGAACCAACCAACAUAAAGCUCUCCACAGCUUCAUCAAUCAUCUAAGGAACCUCCCAAAGGACCAAUAGAAGUUCCACAGCUUCCUCAGUUACACGAGAACAUUCUAAAUGACACCAAUGUCUUCUUCUCCCUCAGACUGGCUCACUGCUCAGUAGAACCUCCAGAAGGACUUUCAGAACAUCCCCAGUGACCUAAAGCCCCCCCACAAUCUCCUCAUCUCCCUGCAAUGCCCUCAACGAUCUCCACAGCUGUCUCCAUCUUCACUAGAACCUCUAGAACAUCUCCAGUGUCUCGAAGAACAUCCUAAAGACCUCUACAGAUUCCUCAAAGACCCUGCAACCACCUAAAGAAACAGUGGAACCAUCUAGAACCAUCAACAACCCAAGUAGUGAUCACGGUAGCAUCCUAAAAGACCUCCAGAACCUCAGUGACUACAGGAACAUUGUAAACGAAGACUAGAACACCUAUAGACUGUCAAAAAAAUAACUCAGUUACCAACAUAAUCUGCUAAGAGACCUCCAGAACCUCCUGACAUACUACAGGAACUCAAAAAUGACAGCUAGAACCACCUAAAGAUGACUAAAUAACCAAUCACUGACCGCUGAAAGCUCCUGAAAGACCUCCAGAACCUCCUCAGUGGUGACGGACUAAAUGAAUGCUUCCACAGACGGUUAGUUCAGGAGAAACUGAAGCUCUAAAUGCAAAGAAUCAAACAGAAAGCAGCAGAAAGUGUUUUCAGAUGGAGUCAGAGAGGAACCGAUGCGGUUCUUCAGGAUGAUGAUGUCAUGAACAUUCUGUUGGUGAAAGAACAUCGCCUCCUGCAGGCCACAGAGAACAUCUCAGUCCUUCAGGAGGAGCAGAUCUCACUUUAUCUUUCAUUUCAACAUGAACCCUGAGGAGCACCACCAUCACUCAGACUGACGUUACCAUGACGACGAGGACCAGCAAGGAAGGACGGAAGGAAGGAAGGAUGGAUGGAAGGAAGGAAGGAUGGAUGAUGGAAGGAAGGAAGGAUGGAUCAUGGAAGGAAGGAAGGAAGGAAGAAUGGAUGAUGGAAGGAAGGAAGGUAGAAAAGAAGGAAGGAAAGAAGAUAGGAAGGAAGCAAGAGAGGAAGGAAACAAGAGAGGAAGGAAGAUAAGAAGGAAGAUAAGAAGGAAGGAUGGAAGAGAGGAAACAAGGAAAGAAGAGAGAAGGAAGGAAGAAAGGAAGAGAGGAAGAUAGGAUGGAAGGAAGGAAGGAAGGAAGGAAGGAAGGAAGAAUGAAGGAAGGAUGGAAAGAAGAUAGGAAGGAAGGAAGGAAGAGAGGAAGGAAGGAAGGAAGGAAGGAAGGAAGAGAGGAAGAGAGGAAGGAACAGCCCAAUGGGUGACCAAAGAGCUGAAAGUUAAAAACCACUGAAAGACAUGACGGAGCUGCAGAGAUGGAAGAACUUUGACAGUUUUCGCUCCAACCAUUCCAGACUUCUUCAGGAGACUAGAGACGUUAUUUUAAUAAACCUUUUAAUGAUU